UGCUCAUCCUGAUUGCUGUGGUUCUUGAACAAUCAUUCUCCAGUCCUUCAUCCAGAAGCAUGCACUCCUUCCAUGCAUACAACGUCAUGUAGCUUCACGACCAAUCACAUGAUUAAGGAAAGAUAGCUCCAGUCACUUCCAAUGGCAAGAAAACAGAGCACGAAUGGAAAGCGGAGGAGAAAUAAAUAUGCAAAAUAUCCAGUGAAUGGUCAUACCUUGCACAUUCGUAGCUAUAUAAAAGUAUCACUCCUCCCAAGGGUAGACAUCCAGGUCUUCUCCGUGCAGCUGUUGGUGACGCUCUUGGAGUCCAGCUAGCCAUUGUGAGGAGACAUCUUCCAUAUCCUCUGUCAGAAACAGCUGGUGCAACUUGUCCAAACCCUCAACACACCUCAGAGCUUCACAUAGACCUACACGCAACAGUUUCAUCUGGGGAAUAUUUGAGAUCCUCUCCAGGCAUUCACAAUAUGAGACUGAAAGUUCCUCAGACAGAAAUGGGAAGUUCUCCACCACCUUAAUAUUGUCCAUGAAUUUUAAUCGGAGCUCCUUCAAGCUGGUGGCUUCCUGUCCAAGCUGCCGUGGAAGAGCUCUCAGCUUGGGGCAGCUGUAAAAAUCCAGGCCCUUCAAACGUGGCAGCAGCUGCAUCCUUGGAGGUGGGGCUUCCCCCUUUUGCUUUGCAGCAGCUCCAUCCUCUCCACCUUCCUUACCUGCUGCCGUUGCUUCUUCUUCUUCAACUACAAAGGUCCACUCCUCCCAGUUGGGCAUAUACCCGAUGGACAAAAUUUCAAGCUUGGGGAAAGCAACUGCCUCUGGAGAUCCGAAAUUACCCACCCCCAAGCCAAUAAAUUCAGGUCCAAUCUUGGUGACUGCAGUUGCUCCCUGGAUUCUCAGGAAUUUCAAGUUGGGAAGGUGCCCGAUUGGAGGAAGUUGCGUAUAGGAUUUGCAAUGUUUAAGUAUCAAGUAUUUUAGUGAAGGCAAAUGUCUAGCAGCACCUAACCAGGUAGGAAACCUCCGACCACAAAAUCGCUUCAAAACUAGAGCUUCCAGGUUUUUUGGAGGUAUUAGCUGAUCAAAUACCUUCUCAAUAUUACUAAUAACCUCUUCAGAGUAUGGUUCCUCCGCACAUUCAGUGCAAUAUAAAUAUAAUUCUUUAAGAUGCUUUUUAUUAGUUAGUAGUGAAUCUAUACUGCAAACAGCAGAUGCUUCCAAUUUUGUAAUAAGAAGCUGCCUCAACUGCAAAAGAGGACCCAACUCUUCUAGAUUCCAUCCAUCUUGCAUUGCAGUGCUAUAAUCACUUCUACCACAAAUUGGAAAUCCAUCUAAAUUAUUGAGGUAUUUCAAACCCCCAAUACCUUUUGGAACCUUAUUUAUUGCCGAACCUUUGAGACCAAGACUCCUUAAGUUAAAUAAUCUACAGAUUGCUAAAGGAAGGCUGUGCAAACUGUCACACUUGUUCAAUUCCAAUACCUCAAGGUUUUUGAGAGAACCAAUAGACUCCGGAAGGCAAGUUAUGCUGGUGUCAUUAAGAUUCAACAAGCGCAAAUGAAUCAAACUUCCAAUAUAAUCUGGAAUAUUUUCUACACUUGACCCACUUAAAUCCAAAACACGAAUAUAUGGAAAUCGCUUGAAAAUUGAAGAUUCAACUACCAAUGACUUGCCACAGAAAUUUAUUGAAGUUCUCACUUUGAGUUGAUGCCUGUCCACAAUAGGUAAAGAGAUCAUAUCAUUGCAUGUUACAACUGACACACGUCGCAAUUUAGAUAUACUCCUGCAAUCCAACGAUCGUGGGUCUCCAAAGAAACACUCUUCUCUUGAUAAAUGCUGAGCAAGUUGUCUUAAGAGGUCAUGCAUUGUGCACCUGUAUGGUUCUGCAUACCGAGGAUCUGGUAGGAGGAGGUUCCUUGAGACCAACUCACAGAAGUAUUCUUCUGCUGUAUCUUCUAGUAGUUGGUUAUUUUGCUUUUCAAUAAAGCCCUCGGCAAUCCAGAGCCUGACAAGAUCAUCACAACGUAGUGUCCAAUCUUCAGGAUACAAAGCACAGUAAAGAAAACAUUGCUUCAGGUUUUGUGGUAGCUGAUCAUAACUCAAGUACAAAGCACCUCUGAGUUCAGCAGGGAGCUUACUUAUGGACCAAGCAUCAUUGUCUAGAAUCUUCUGCCAUUCACUCUCUGUUGUCUCCUUCACUGCAAGAACACUAGCCAUAGUCCUAAUUGCAAGAGGAAGGCCACCACAUUUUCGAACAAUUUCCAUUCCUUUGUCCUGCACGUUGUGCACUUCUUUCUCAUCAGAUAUGUUCAUACUCUUCCAAAGCAGCUCCCAUCCUACUUCCACUGACAUCAAUUCGACUCGAUGCAUGUGUUCCACUCCAAUUGCCUUUGCAACUGUAUCAUGUCGAGUUGUUGUUACAAUUGUUACUUGAGCUGCAGCAUUGAGUGGAGUUCUUAGUAAAUUGGUCCAUACAUCAGACUCCCACAAGUCAUCCAACACAAGGAAAAAGCUGUCUCCUUCAAUGGCUUCUGCAAGUUUGGCUUGAAGCUCUCCGAUGCUUUCACAAUUUUCUUUGUCCACUCCAACAUUUCGAAGUAUUUCAUUCAAUAGAGCAACUUGAGAGUACUGUUGGGAAACGCAAAUCCAUGCAUACUUCUUAAAGUUACCCUUCACUCUUUGAUCAUUGUAUAUUUUCUGAGCUAGUGUUGUUUUUCCAACUCCUCCUGUUCCAACAAUUGCCAUCUUGUAAGCCUUCUUGUCCUUGUGUUCUAGCACCAACCCUACCAAUCUAUUGGUAGCAUGUAUGAUCUCUUUUCCAACAAGAUUUGGUUCUACCAGGUGGGAUGUUUUUCUCAUAUUUGAUACUAAUACUCUAUCAAUAGGUUCUGUUUCAAACUUGAAAUUUGUACCUAACUCUUUAAUCAUCUCUAUUCUUUUGUUGAGGCCUCUAAUCUGUACCGCAAUCUCAUGACGUGUCUUUAGAUUCAAAAAGCAAGAGAAAGUUGCAAAUCCAUUGCAUGUAAUUAAUUUUCUUGAUAAUGAUGAAGAGUUUUCUCCUAGUAGAUUGCUCCCUUUAAACCUGACCAUGUCAAUUAUAUCAUCAGCAUCAUACAUUGCAUCCUUCAGCUCACCAAUCCAAUUACUAACUGCUAAGUCUUCAAUCCUCCUCCGGUCAGCAUCUUUCAGAAAACACUGUAUUUGUGUCAUUGUUCGUUGCAGGUCACUAAGCUCUUGUUUAACACCUAGUAUCUGUAUCGCUUCCUCUAUAAUAAGUUCUUGGAGCUUUUGGAUGCAUGAUCCCGCAAAAGAAAAUAAUAUGGUUGCCAUUAGGUGAAUCCCUGAAGCAGACCCACCACCACCAAUAUAUCUUUUCAGAGCUAAGAAAACCAGUAAUAUGAGGGACUAGCUAGUGAGUUUCCUUGAGCAAGCUUUCACAGUGUUAUUCCAUAAACGAUUGAACUUGGACCUGAAAUUUAUAAAGUUUACAGCAGUAUGUCAAAUCCGUACGCACUUGAAAGAUGUACAACACCACAUGCUCCUAUGAGUACUCAUUAUAUUCUGUAAACUACUACUUGACAUAAUCUCACACUGAUUGCGAAGAGAAUAAAGGAUAUGUAAAUGAUGAAAGCACCUAGGAAAAAUUCACACCAUGCACUAUCGGGCAGAUAGACAAAACCAUCUUGGGUGGACUUAGGUGCAUCCAUCCAUGAGUUUUAGACUCCCUUAUGCACUAUGUUCCAGACUAAAACCCAUGUAAUGGAUCUUUGAUUUCCUUUCACACUAGCCAUUUGUGGAUAUUAUUCUUGUUUUUUGUGCAUUUAUAACUUCAUCUACAAUAAGGACUGAUUGCUAUGCAAAUAGGUCUAUCCUGCUAGUAGAUAGCACCUAGCCUUCCGGAACUCAGGCUUCUGCUUGUAGUUGACUGAGUUUACAUGUUUUUGCUUUGACUUGCCAUUAUAUCUGUAUGUGGAAAGUAUACUCCUUAUUUUUUCAGUGUAAUUGUCUCUUGUGUGCACAUUUAUUUCUGACUUAAGCGCUAGUUCCUGCUCAGCUAAAUAGAAAGAUAAACAUCAAAUGACUCAAACUGACUGAUUUGCAUAUUCUAGCAAUGUUUCCUUUCUAGCAACCUAACUGGUCACAUAUUUCCAUGCUCACAUAUUUCCAACCCUCCUCUCAUACUAAAAACAGCUUUAAAUUUUCAAGAGUUGGUCGACUCAUUUAGCUUCUUUCAUCCAUAAAUCUACUCCAGAAAAUCUGACCUUUCAAGUGCUAGUAAUGUUACAUUGCAAGUCAAAAGAAUAUAGGAGGCUGCAGGAUUUCAUUUCCAUGAAUGAGAAAUGGACGUAACUUGUAACAAUUCUUGGAAGAAGUUAGAAGAUUCCAGUGCGCUCAAGUGCACAAGCCUUACCUGAAUCAAAGACCUAUUUUCAACAGGCCUGACUGACAAUAGAAGUCAAGGAUGCAAGAUCAUCCACCAGCAGCAACAACAGUUUGUUUCUGAAGGUCAACUCAAUACUGAAGGAAGAGGAACAAAGACUAAUUGCUCAAAUAAUAUCCCUCAAUGAACUGAACAUCGAUAGCCAAUAUGUGGUCGUCACCAUGAAAGAGUCACGAUUACUCUGCUUGAAAGGGAAAGAAAAAUGGAUAAAACUGAGAAGGGUAGUUGAAUUGAGAAAUAAAGAAUCUCUGGAUAGUACGGACCUUUGUGCACUACCAGAACUGCAAGCAGAUGACCUUAUUCUUCCUUGACUGGAGAAGACCCAGAGGAUCACUUCAAGCAGCAGUGUGAGGCAGUAAAUUCGACAGAAUUCACAAUGGUAUCCCUCGAAAAAAAAAUAUCAACCGACAAUGAUACACGCCUGCAACUGCAACACAAGUUUGUGAGACUACUGACACUUCGUAACUAUGAAUUAAUCUUAAUGGAACACAUUGUGCUAACCAAUUAAUAGGCAGAUACGGAAUGAAGGAAAUACACCUCUUUCAAAGACAGUACUGUCUCCCAAACCAGAUUGCCUCGCAUCCUCCUCUCCUUUUCCUCACUAUAGCAGAGGAAAUGUGAUGAGUAUUUAUCACUUCAAGCAAUUCACCAUAAUGAAAUAGAAACAGAUAAUUAUGAUGAGCCCAUCACCACAAAAAUGAGUAGUACAGUGUGGUAUGAGCUAUAAGGAGUUAGCAUUCUGUCAUUUUAUUUUGUGAUUUAAAACGAUGUAAUAAAUUGGGACAAUAUUUAGUAUCAUGCAAAAGAAACCUCUACUAUGAUUGUUUGAUUCACCAUGAGCAGACUUAUGGUAAUGACGAUGGAAACCAUGAGCAGAGCAAAAAACAUACCCUGAGCAGAGGCAGAGCAAACCAGAGCUAAAGGACGCAAAUCAGCAGAGAGGUAGCUGGAAACUGGAGAGCCAUCACUUCCUGGCUAAAAGCUUCAUCUUCCUUGUGUCACAUGAAUUGUGCAGCUGAAGGAGCAACUACUCUUCAAUCAUCUCUCUAACAGAAAGAAAAAUGAAGUGGUGCAUAAUCAACACAUGCAAAUCAAGCUUGAGCUAGGAGGAGAAAGAUUAUGAAAUCUGAAUCGUUAUGGACUAACUGUUCAAUUCGAGCUUACCAAACUGAAAGGAUAUGAUGCAGAGACAGAGGAGGAGGAUGAAAACGCAAGGAGCAGUUCCUACUGAAGCAUCCUCUCUAUUCCUCCUCUUAUCGGCAUCACUUGAGCAUCGAGAAAAUGAAUUCUCUGGCAGAAAAUAGUGGACAAAGUAUAGAACAGAUAAAUGUGUGACAACCACACAAUCACUGAAAACCAACAGAUCACACGUUAACUCCUGGAAAAAGUGGAGACACUAGAAAAUGAAUUCUCUAGCAGAAAACAAGUGCAUGAUCAACGAAAUGAGAAGAAAUAGGUGCAUGAUGAAGACACGUAUGUGAAGCGUGACUUAGGAAGAGAGAGAGAGGAAAGAAAACAUCCGAACCCUUUAUGGACCAGACAAUCAAUUUGAGCUUACCAAAUUAAACAACGCAGAAACAGAGGAGCCAGUUGAAAACCCAAAUAGCACUUCCUACUCAACCAUCAUCCCUGUUCCUCCUCUUAUUGACAUCACUUGAGCAGCGAGAAAAUGAAAUCGUGCAGGAAGUUUGUAUGUAGAUUCACCAAUACUUCCCCCUUGCAACAGCGUUGGAUCUCAUUGAUCAGAAAAGCUUGGAAUUUCAGUGCAGUGGCAAGUGCAAUGACCUAACCUUGUAUAAGAAGAUGCAGAUAUGUCAUUGUUGAACAGGUCAUCUGUGGUUGGCGUCGGCGGCCGAGCGGGUCAAGGUCUCCGUCCUCUAGCAUGGGGAAGGGGCCAUGUAGCGUCGUCUAGCCAGUGACAUGCAACUGUAACGAUGGCACGUUACACCUAACAAGGGUAUUGAAAUCUGCCUAAUCUCCAUGCCCAGACACAAGGUCAAGGUCUGUGGUAUGGCCAUCGCUGUCAAGUGUGGAAGGUGAUUGACAAACAAUUGCAACGUCCCCUUGUUCAGACAGCAGUACUACACAGGCAGUCUGAACUUGUAUAGGAAUUGUGGCAUUUUCUGGCCCGAUUUUGAAACCCAAAUUGCUGUACGAUGAAAUGAACAAAAGCACUGAACAGUCAGGCCCCUGCAAAUUUUUCCAGGAUAUUUACUUUAUUCAUUCAAUUCCACUUUGCUGAGUGUUUUUUUCUCUUUUGCCGAGGGCCAAAAUUUGCCAAGUGCCUUUGGAUAUUUUUGUCGAGUGUAAGUCUUUGCUAAGUGUUUCCACUAACAACACCGGGCAAACAUACUAACGGAUGUACACGUGGCACGUUCUUUGCCGAGUGUCCAUGCGCGUUUUUGCCUAGUGUCUUUUGAUCUGUUUACCAUGUGUCGCGUUGUUUGCCGAGUGUUUUUGUGUUGACACUCGACAAAUAGCUUCUUUGCCGAGUGCUUGAUAGAAUACACUCGGCAAAGAACUUGGCACUCGGCAAACCCACAAUUUCCAGUAGUUUUGGGAGAGGUUCUUCACGUCAGGGAGCUCAAAAACGUGUCACUUUUUAUCUUUGAAUAAGAAACCUGUGACAUUGAAUGUGGCUUUAAAGAGUAAGCUGCAAAGUGGAAACUGCUUCCGAUAAAAGUAGUUGGAACUCUUUUUUUAAAAAAAAAGCAUUAUGCUGGAAACAUAUAAACAGAAAUGAGUACGAUUUCACCCAUAUUACGUGUAAGUUGCAGGCACCGGCCAAGAUAUGAUUUUAACCUGCAUUUCUUGUCGCUACUACAGAAUGAAUCUGCCUCGCAUUUCUCCUUGGUUGGUUCACAGAAGAUGCAUGACUAAAAUAAGUAAGAGCAGUUUUUUUUAUAUACAUUAAUGUUGGUAGGAACAGCGAAACAAGAGCUCACUUUUCCUAGCAGCAACAGAAAGCACGCAACAGCCGAUGCAGUUCUUCGCAUUACAAGAUCACAAUCUACAACAGGUGCAAGUUCAUCACAGAAUUAAUUGAGAAACUCAAGUAGCAGUGUAGCACACGUUUUCAUUCAUACAUACACCACAAGGAUGGUCAAACACUUAAAUAACAAGACGCAAGCCUUCCCACAGUCUAGAAACAAGAGAGGAAGCCGUCUGCUCAUCUUGAUUAAUUGCUGUGGUUAGCUCAUAUUUUAUUCUUUUUAUUGAUGGAAGUGGUUUGCUCAUCCUGAUUGCUGUGGUUCUUGAACAAUCAUUCUCCAGUCCUUCAUCCAGAAGCAUGCACUCCUUCCAUGCAUACAACGUCAUGUAGCUUCACGACCAAUCACAUGAUUAAGGAAAGAUAGCUCCAGUCACUUCCAAUGGCAAGAAAACAGAGCACGAAUGGAAAGCGGAGGAGAAAUAAAUAUGCAAAAUAUCCAGUGAAUGGUCAUACCUUGCACAUUCGUAGCUAUAUAAAAGUAUCACUCCUCCCAAGGGUAGACAUCCAGGUCUUCUCCGUGCAGCUGUUGGUGACGCUCUUGGAGUCCAGCUAGCCAUUGUGAGGAGACAUCUUCCAUAUCCUCUGUCAGAAACAGCUGGUGCAACUUGUCCAAACCCUCAACACACCUCAGAGCUUCACAUAGACCUACACGCAACAGUUUCAUCUGGGGAAUAUUUGAGAUCCUCUCCAGGCAUUCACAAUAUGAGACUGAAAGUUCCUCAGACAGAAAUGGGAAGUUCUCCACCACCUUAAUAUUGUCCAUGAAUUUUAAUCGGAGCUCCUUCAA
rnacentral:lncRNA from 1 species